UGGGGAAUCUUCCGCAAUGGACGAAAGUCUGACGGAGCAACGCCGCGUGUAUGAUGAAGGUCUUCGGAUUGUAAAGUACUGUCAUUGGGGAAGAACGGUUUUCUUGAAAAGAUUGAGAAGACAUGACGGUACCCAAGGAGGAAGCCCCGGCUAACUACGUGCCAGCAGCCGCGGUAAUACGUAGGGGGCAAGCGUUGUCCGGAAAUUAUUGGGCGUAAAGGGCGCGUAGGCGGGCCUUUAAGUCCGGUGUGAAAGAUCAGGGCUCAACCCUGAGAGUGCAUCGGAAACUGGAGGCCUUGAGGACAGGAGAGGAAAGUGGAAUUCCACGUGUAGCGGUGAAAUGCGUAGAUAUGUGGAGGAACACCAGUGGCGAAGGCGACUUUCUGGACUGUAACUGACGCUGAGGCGCGAAAGCGUGGGGAGCAAACAGGAUUAGAUACCCUGGUAGUCCACGCCCGUAAACGAUGAGCUGCUAGGUGUAGAGGGUAUCGACCCCUUCUGUGCCGCAGUUAACACAAUAAGGCACUCCCGCCUUGGGGGAGGUACGGCCGCAAAGGUUUG
rnacentral:rRNA from 1 species